CGAGGGUUGGACCUCCUCUUCAAGAGAGAAGAGGACCUUUGUGCUGCAUUGAGGGAAAAAUGUUGUUUUUAUGCCGACAAUACUGGAGUUGUAAAAAAAUCUAUGAGUAAAUUAAAAAGAUGCCUUGAAAAGCGUCAGUGAGAGAGAGAGGCCCAAAAAGGGUGGUAUGAGUCUUGGUUCACACAGUCCCCCUGGUUAACUACGCUUUUAUCAGCCCUGGCCGGUCCUUUAAUAACCCUUAUAUUGUUGCUAACUCUAGGACCCUAUUUGCUCAACCGUGUAGUUUCCUUUCUCCAAGCCCAAAUUGGACAAGUCAAACUUAUUGUAAUCAGACAACAAUAUACCCCACUAGCAGACAUAAAAUGUGACACCUCCCCCAAUGAUCACUUUUAUGAUUAAAAGCAGCCAGAAGAAGAAGUGGGGAAUGAAAGGUUAAUAAAAUAGGUACUUGUCACUCUGUUUUCUGUAUGCUUAACAAAACACUGUUGAAAUCCUGAGAACUGUUUGCUAAUCUUGUUCCCAGAAUGUGCUGUCCCCAACUGACAAACUGCAGAAUGCACUCCCUCACUCGGUUGCAGGCAAACCGCCCACUUGCCCUGACCUGUCAAUGAACUUCCCUCCCUGCCCUCUCCAAGAAAAUUAUAUAAGCUCUGCUUAAGCUGUUCUCAGGGCUCUCUCUCUUUGCUCUAUUCAAGUGAGCUCUGAGCCCCAGAAUGCUGGACCC
rnacentral:lncRNA from 1 species